rnacentral:rRNA from 1 species
AACGAACGCUGGCGGCAUGCCUAACACAUGCAAGUCGAACGCGCCCUUCGGGUCUAGUGGCGCACGGGUGCGUAACGCGUGGGAACCUGCCCUUAGGUUCGGAAUAACUCCCCGAAAGGGGUGCUAAUACCGGAUAAUGUCUUCGGACCAAAGAUUUAUCGCCUUUGGAUGGGCCCGCGUUGGAUUAGCUAGUUGGUAGGGUAAAAGCCUACCAAGGCGACGAUCCAUAGCUGGUCUGAGAGGAUGAUCAGCCACACUGGGACUGAGACACGGCCCAGACUCCUACGGGAGGCAGCAGUGGGGAAUAUUGGACAAUGGGCGAAAGCCUGAUCCAGCAAUGCCGCGUGAGUGAUGAAGGCCUUAGGGUUGUAAAGCUCUUUUACCCGGGAUGAUAAUGACAGUACCGGGAGAAUAAGCUCCGGCUAACUCCGUG